rnacentral:sRNA from 1 species
AUCAAAAGUUAGAAUGCUGCUACAUGGACCCUCUUUGCAAGUUCAGUGCUUAACCUGACCGAACUGGCUGCCCUUCGGCCUGACCUUGGGAAACUGAAAAAGAUUCUGUAUUUUCACGAGAACCAGUUGAUAUAUCCUGUCAAGAAAUGUCAGGAGAGGGAUUUCCAGUAUGGAUACAACCAAAUUCUUUCAUGCCUGGUGGCUGAUGUGGUUGUAUUCAACUCGGUUUUUAAUAUGGAAUCAUUUCUCACUUCCAUUGGAAAAUUUAUGAAGCUGAUUCCUGAUCACAGACCCAAGGAUCUGGAAAGCAUCAUCAGACCCAAGUGCCAAGUUAUUUACUUUCCCAUCAGGUUUCCUGAUGUGAGCAGAUUCAUGCCCAAGCACAAAACAACCCAUUUAAAGAAGAUGCUCGGCCUUAAAGGAAAUGGCGGUGCGGUUCUGUCCAUGGCCCUUCCUUUUCAGCCAGAGCAGAGAGAUUCGGAGGAUUUAUUGAAGAAUUUUAAUUCAGAGUGUGAUACACACUGUGGCCUUGAUACUGCACGACAAGAAUAUUUGGGUAACUCAUUAAGA